rnacentral:rRNA from 1 species
UGGAGCAUGUGGUUUAAUUCGAAGCAACGCGAAGAACCUUACCAGGUCUUGACAUCCCUGACAACCCGAGAGAUCGGGCGGUUCCCCUUCGGGGGACAGGGUGACAGGUGGUGCAUGGUUGUCGUCAGCUCGUGUCGUGAGAUGUUGGGUUAAGUCCCGCAACGAGCGCAACCCUCGACCUUAGUUGCCAGCAUUCAGUUGGGCACUCUAAGGUGACUGCCGGCUAAAAGUCGGAGGAAGGUGGGGAUGACGUCAAAUCAUCAUGCCCCUUAUGACCUGGGCUACACACGUGCUACAAUGGGCGGUACAAAGGGUCGCGAACCCGCGAGGGGGAGCCAAUCCCAAAAAGCCGCUCCCAGUUCGGAUUGCAGGCUGCAACUCGCCUGCAUGAAGCCGGAAUCGCUAGUAAUCGCGGAUCAGCAUGCCGCGGUGAAUACGUUCCCGGGCCUU